CUCAAAUCAAUAGGAAGGAAGGAUGGAUUCUUCUGUUUUACUUAUGCAGCUGAGAGAAGCUGUUAUCUGGGACUGUGGAUGAGCAAUGGGAAACUACUAAAAUAAGUCAAACUAAACUUGCUAACUAUACACAUUUUUUUUUUCGGGGCAUAUUAAACUGCAUAUUGGGAUGAUUGGCUGCAAUGCUAAACACUAUCACUAGAUGUCAUUAUACUUUUUACACACAUUCAUGGUAAUGACUCAAAACAUGUUGUUCUUUUCUGCACUGCUUGAUACUAAGUUGCAAACAGUAGUUGCAAAUGUUUAACUAUUCACUUGCUGACAUAUAUACAGUUGUAUAAUGGAAUCACAUUAAAUAAUACAAUAGAAAAA